rnacentral:rRNA from 1 species
UUUACGGGAGGCAGCAGUGAGGAAUAUUGGUCAAUGGGCGCAAGCCUGAACCAGCCAUGCCGCGUGCAGGAAGAAUGCCCUAUGGGUUGUAAACUGCUUUUAUUUAGGAAUAAACCCCUCUACGUGUAGAGGGCUGAAUGUACUAAACGAAUAAGCACCGGCUAACUCCGUGCCAGCAGCCGCGGUAAU